CUUUCUGUUGAUAAAUAGUGGCGUGAAUGUGCAAACAUCAAAAAAAAAAGAGAAACAGCUGAAAACAGUCUUCAAAUGAAGCUGAUUUUGUGUCUUUUUUUUUUUUU
rnacentral:ribozyme from 1 species